rnacentral:rRNA from 1 species
AGGCCGAGAGGCGUAGCCGAUGCACAUACGGUGGAGAUUCCGUAGCCGCCGAAAGACAGAGGGACACUUUGGAAGCGUUGUUGCCGGGCGAUGGUCGCCCCGGUCGAAAGGGACCGAAGACAAGUAGGGAAGAACAGCGUGGACAGAGGCAAGAAAAGCUCUGUGAAUUAAAAGGCGCCCGUACCGCAAACCGACACAGGUAGUCAGGAAGAGAAUUCUAAGGCCAACGGGAGAAGGGUAGUUAAGGAACUCGGCAAAUUGACCCCGUAACUUCGGAAUAAGGGGUGCUCCUGAGAAGGAGCCGCAGUGAAAAGGUCCAGGCGACUGUUUAUCAAAAACACAGGUCUCUGCUAAAUCGAAAGAUGAAGUAUAGGGGCUGACACCUGCCCGGUGCUGGAAGGUUAAGAGGAGAGGUGCAAGCUUUGAAUCGAAGCCCCAGUAAACGGCGGCCGUAACAAUAACGGUCCUAAGGUAGCGAAAUUCCUUGUCGGGUAAGUUCCGACCCGCACGAAUGGUGUAACGAUCUGGACACUGUCUCAACUGCCCACCCGGCGAAAUUGUAGUACCGGUGAAGAUGCCGGUUACCCGCGGCAAGACGGAAAGACCCCAUGGAGCUUUACUGUAGCCUAAUAUUGGGUUUUGGUAUUUUAUGUACAGGAUAGGCGGGAGACUAUGAAACCGAGACGCUAGUUUCGGCGGAGUCAGCCUUGGGAUACCGCUCUUAGAGUACCGGAAUUCUAACCUGCGGCCAUGAAUCUGGUCGGGGGACAUUGUUAGGUGGGCAGUUUGACUGGGGCGGUCGCCUCCAAAAGAGUAACGGAGGCGCUCAAAGGUUAGCUCAGCACGGACGGAAACCGUGCCUCUGAGUGCAAACGCAAAAGCUAGCCUAACUGCGAGGCUGACGGGCCGAGCAGUAACGAAAGUUGGAGUUAGUGAUCCGGCGGUAUGUGAAUGGAAAUGCCGUCGCUCAACGGAUAAAAGCUACCCUGGGAUAACAGGCUGAUCUCCCCCAAGAGUCCACAUCGACGGGGAGGUUUGGCACCUCGAUGUCGGCUCAUCACAUCCUGGGGCUGAAUUCGGUCCCAAGGGUUCGGCUGUUCGCCGAUAAAAGUGGUACGCGAGCUGGGUUCAGAACGUCGUGAGACAGUUCGGUCCCUAUCUGUCGUGGGCGCAGGAUAUUUGAGGAGAGCUGUCCUUAGUACGAGAGGACCGGGAUGGACGGACCGCUGGUGCACCGGUUGUUACGCCAGUAGCACAGCCGGGCAGCUAAGUGCGGAACGGAUAAACGCUGAAAGCAUCUAAGCGUGAAGCCGCCUCCAAGAUAAGAUAUCCCAUGGCGUAAGCCAGUAAGACCCCUCAUGGACUAUGAGGUUGAUAGGUUGCAUGUGUAAGCGUGGUGACACGUUCAGCUUGGCAAUACUAAUAGGUCGAGGGCUUGAGC